CCUACGGGUGGCAGCAGUAGGGGAUAUUGCACAAUGGGGGAAACCCGGAUGCAGCGACGCCGCGUGAGUGAAGACGUAUUUCGGUAUGUAAAGCUCUAUCAGCAGGGAAGAAAAUGACAUUACCUGACCAAGAAGACCCGGCUAACUACGUGCCAGCAGCCGCGGUAAUAAGUAGGGGGCAAGCGUUAUCCGGAUUUACUGGGUGUAAAGGGAGCGUAGACGGUUAUGUAAGUCUGGAGUGAAGACCCGGGGCACAACCCCGGGACUGCUUUGGAAACUGUGUAACUGGAGUACAGGAUGUGCAGGCGGAAUUCCUGGUGUAGCGGUGAAAUGCGUAGAUAUCAGGAGGAACACCGGCGGCGAAGGCGGCCUGCUGGACUGAAACUGACGUUGAGGCUCGAAAGCGUGGGGAGCAAACAGGAUUAGAUACCCGUGUAGUC
rnacentral:rRNA from 1 species